AUUGAACGCUGGCGGCAUGCCUUACACAUGCAAGUCGAACGGUAACAGGCCUUCGGGUGCCGACGAGUGGCGAACGGGUGAGUAAUACAUCGGAACGUGCCCGAUCGUGGGGGAUAACGAGGCGAAAGCUUUGCUAAUACCGCAUACGAUCUACGGAUGAAAGCAGGGGACCGCAAGGCCUUGCGCGGACGGAGCGGCCGAUGGCAGAUUAGGUAGUUGGUGGGAUAAAAGCUUACCAAGCCGACGAUCUGUAGCUGGUCUGAGAGGAUGAUCAGCCACACUGGGACUGAGACACGGCCCAGACUCCUACGGGAGGCAGCAGUGGGGAAUUUUGGACAAUGGGCGCAAGCCUGAUCCAGCCAUGCCGCGUGCAGGAUGAAGGCCUUCGGGUUGUAAACUGCUUUUGUACGGAACGAAAAGCAUUCUUUUAAUACAGGAGGGUCAUGACGGUACCGUAAGAAUAAGCACCGGCUAACUACGUG
rnacentral:rRNA from 1 species